rnacentral:lncRNA from 1 species
UCAUUUUUUCUAGUUCCAAAAUUGAAUGAUUGCGAGCCCCAAAUAGUUCUUGCCUAUAGGUCUCUACCAUGCGUUCUCUUUCUUGUGACUAGCUCCUCACUGUUAACUCUUAACUGGAACUACUACUCUUGAAAACACAAGAAAUACAAGAAAAUAGCACUCCAGCAAAUCCAAAACAAUACCACAGAAUGACUUUAACUGGUGCCCUACUCCUAUUCUUUUACUACUUGGUGAUAAUACCAAUAUGUUAUCCAUACUGUCCAUGAAAGGUAAUGAGAAGUAAUCUUUCUUGAUGGCCGCAUUAAG